rnacentral:rRNA from 1 species
GAUGAACGCUGGCGGCGUGCCUAAUACAUGCAAGUCGAGCGAACGGACGAGAAGCUUGCUUCUCUGUUGUUAGCGGCGGGCGGGUGAGUAACACGUGGAUAACCUACCUAUCAGACUGGGAUAACUUCGGGACACCGGAGCUAAUACCGGAUAAUAUUUUGAACCGCAUGGUGCAAAGGUGAAAGACGGUCUUGCUGUCACUUAUAGAUGGAUCCGCGCUGCAUUAGCUAGUUGGUAAGGUAACGGCUUACCAAGGCAACGAUGCAUAGCCGAACUGAGAGGGUGGUAGGCCACCUGGGAACGUGGACACGGUCCAGACGACUACGGGAGGCAGCAGUAGGGUACGGUACGCAAUGGGGGAAAGCCUGACGGAGCGACGGCGCGCGAGUGAUGACGGUCUUCGGAGCGUAAAACUCGGUUAUUAGGGAAGAACAGAUGUGGAAGUAGAUGUGCCCAUCUUGACGGUACCUAAUCAGAAAGCCACGGCUAACUACGUG